rnacentral:tRNA from 1 species
GCGGGGGUCGCCUAGCCUGGCCAAGGGCGUCGGGCUUAAGACCCGAUGGCGUAGAGCCGUCGUGGGUUCAAAUCCCACCCCCCGCA